AUAUAUAUAUAUAUAUAUAUAUAUAUAUAUAUAACUGCUUGCUUCAUCAAGAACUUCAAGUUCAUGCAUGUAAUAACUCUUCCUUUCUUUUCCAAUUAAUAAACUUUUCAUGUUUUCUUUUUAAAAAUUAAUUAGUAGCCUAAACAUUGGAGAUAUGCUGAAUCCAAAUAAUGCCAUCUUUAGUAAAUAUAUGCCACAUUAGGGGG
rnacentral:lncRNA from 1 species